rnacentral:tRNA from 1 species
GGAUAGCUCAGUUGUUUAGAGCAUGAUGCUGAUAACACCAAGGUUGUAGGUUCAAUCCCUGUAUGGGACA